AAAGGGAGGUUUAUUUUCUCCCGUAACCUAAACCCUCGUUUCUUCUUUCUCCUCUUCUGCGCGGCGUCGCGACUUCUGCUCGGGCGAAAGAGGUGGCGGAGCUAGGUUUCCUUUCUCCGGCGGCCAGCGAAGGCUUUCUUCCGGCAAACCUUGUCGAUUUUGAUCCCCUUCAUCGACGAGAAGGUGAAGACGUAGAGGAAUCGCCGAGAUCUUCACCUCACCCAAAACCCUAGAAGCUUUAGAGCCCUCUUUCUCCGGUUGUUAGUCCAAGAACAGCGAGAUAAAGGAAAAGCCAAAUAUAUAUGAAAAGAGGCGACAAGGGAAGGCUUGAUGGGCGUGUGAUGUCUGGACUGUGGAGUGAUCUAAGAAGUUGUUAAUUCUUUUUAUUAAGAGUCUUAAUUGUUAAAAGAAUUUAAAACUUGUAUAUGCUAUUUUCUUGGGAUUGUUUUAUCGUGUAUUGCUGGAGUUGAUCUUUUGGUA